GUGUAUUAAUGCCUUUUAAUUACUCAUAAUCAUUUUUCAAAAUCUUUCAAUUAUUUUUAUAUUUUAUCACUAUUAAAUUAAUGGAAAUAUCACCCAUUCUCUAUAAUUGUUUUCCAGAAAUUUCCUCUGAAAUACUUCUAGAUGAAGAGGUGCAGAAAGUUUGCUAGGAACCACAAGACAAAAUUUGCUAGAGACUCCUACUUAAAAAGGGUUUUGUAUCUGGCUUAGUUUGUUGUAAUUUGCAAGAUUCAAAAGCAUUAAUUUGAAUAGACAGAACACCAAGACUCCCAGCACACAAAGAGCAGUUAUUUUGUUAAUAUGCACGAAUAAACUUCAGCAUAUUUUCUUUUACCUGAAAUUUAUAGAUACUGGUUUGAAUCUCUGAUUCCUUCUACAUAGUAUUUGUAAACGUCUGCAAGAUAUUUCCUUACACUGAUGGCUCAUAAUAUAGGUGUGUAUUCUUCUCUUACUCUUUCAUGAGUAAAUACCAAAAUUGCUUCUUCAGUUUACAAAAAAAGUCACUCCGAAAAUUUGUGCAUACAACUCCACACAGCAAAUGUUUUCCGAUUAUAGUCUGUAGAAAAGAAGCGGGAACUUAAAUUUAUUUUCUUUUAUCAGAUAAUAAUCUUUUAAAAAUGAUUUAUACUUUUAUAGAUUACCAGAGAAUUUUCAGAGUUGCUUUUUGUCCAGUACAUGUGUGGGGCUCAGAGACACCACAGAUAAAGUUGCCAUGUUCUGUGAUGCUUGCGUCCAAUAGGGUUUCAGAAAACUUGACAAAAAUUAAACUUUAAGGUGGAAGAGCUGCCCUUGGGAACUGAGAGGAUAGGUUUCAGGCCUGGGAUGGGACGGACAAGGGAAGCCUCCAGGAGAGGAACAUUGGAGGAGAUGCUGGAGAGUGAGGGGCAGUGGGUCCAGGAGACGGGAGGGAAAGGGAGGAGGAAAACGUGUGUGCCCGGCACAGGCCAGGCCAUGAGAAGAGGGCGGUGCAUUAGAAGGGCCGCUGGGAUGAGUAACUGGUGAGGACGCAGGAGCACGAAGGGCAGACCACGGAGGGACUGGGCAGGGGAGGCAGGGAGGGCCGCUCCCCGAGGACUGCACUCUGCGGGGAGGGAUUCGAAUGUCUGGGUUUGGUUCCCUGAGAUGUUACCCCAGCCCAUGAGCUCAGCCUGUGCGGGGGACGCUGAGGAGUGAGCGGGCCCUGUCCCCCGAGGAGGCUGCUGGGCUCGGCCAGGGGGCGUGGGUUUGGGAGAAACGAUGGUGGAGAAAGGCAAAGAGGACCUCGGAGGCCUGACUGCAGGGCUUAUGGAGCUGUCCUUGUUCGCUGCCUUUUCUCCGUCGUUCAGACCCUCACUGCCCCGCCAGUGCAGGUUUCUGUCCCCUCAGUCCUUUUGCAGGAGUAGGUGGAAUCCAUGGACCAGAAACUCAGACCGUUGGUUCCUCGCCACCUGGCGCCCACGCAGGGUCGCUUCUCCCGGAAGGCGCGCUUGUUCCUGCGGCGCUGCCUGCCUGUGUCGUCGUCCCUUCUUCAAACCUCAGGAUUUCUCCGUGUUUCCCAGACCGUAAGGUACAUUUAAACUGCUUUCAUUUUGUCACAAACGCCCUUUUAUAUUAUGGACGUAACACUUAUUACUUCUUACGUUUCCUAUUUGUGAAUUAUUCAUAGGUAAAGAAUUUACGGAAGCAUUUAUUUUUAGUUGACAUAUUGCGUAUAUUUAUGGAUAACAGGGUGAUACUUUGAUUCUUGUAUUCAUUGGGGAAGAUUCGGUCAAGCUAAUUCACAGGUGCAUCAAAUCACCAGCUAACUAAUACUUCAUGGCGAGACCACUAAACACCUGUUAUUUCGCUUUUCUAAAAUGUACGGCAUGACUUCGGAGCAAACGGUACUGCCCGGUCUCAGUAGCCCGAGACUGAGCAUUUCUGAAGCGCGGGGCCCCCGUUUCUGAGAGGGUCGUGGCUGCAUGCAGGUAAGCAAGGAAGAGUGUUUGGGGUGCUUUGUGUGCCCUGUUCAUUUUGGGUGCUUCUGUGUUCUGAGAACUAUGGGUUUGAAUAUGUGUUUGAAAAAUUCAGGUGCUUUAACUUUUCCUUUGUUUUACUCUGUUAACAACGUUAUAACUUUUCUUUUACUGACUUUAGAUUUAAUAUAUUCUUCUUUUUCUAGGUUCCAAAGGUGGAAACACAGAUGACAGAUUUCUGGUCUUUUCAUCGUUUCCUAUGUUUGGAAUAGUUCACCAGUGAGUCAUCUCAACAAGCACAGGGCCUUCCUCCUAGACACAA